UCCUGACGGUAGUCGUAUGCUCGUCUCCGAGACUAAGCCAUGCAAGUCCAAGUACACGUCCUUGAACGACGGAAACUGCGAACGGCUCAUUAAAUCAGUUGCGAUCUACUCGGCGUUCCGCGCCGCCGGAUAACCGUAGUAAUUCUAGGGCUAAUACGUGCGAAGCGCCCGAAGCCGCGAGGCGACGGGCGUUCUCGCCGGAUGUAGGAACCGACCCGGGGACCGCCGGGGCAACCCGGCGCCCCCGAGACGGGGCGAACCACGGUGAAAUGACGGAUCGUCGGCCCCGCGCCGGCGACUCGCCGAAUGAGUUUCUGACCUAUCAACUCGAGACGGCGGGGUAGAGGCCCGCCGCGGUAACGACGGGUAACGGGGAAUCAGGGUUCGAUUCCGGAGAGGGAGCCCGAGAAACGGCUACCACUUCCAAGGAAGGCAGCAGGCGCGCAACUUACCCUAAUCUCGAUUCGAGGAGGUAGUGACAAGAAAUACCGAUGCGGGACCCU
rnacentral:rRNA from 1 species